rnacentral:rRNA from 1 species
AACGAACGCUGGCGGCAUGCCUAACACAUGCAAGUCGAACGAAGGCUUCGGCCUUAGUGGCGCACGGGUGCGUAACGCGUGGGAAUCUGCCCUUUGCUUCGGCAUAACAGUUAGAAAUGCCUGCUAAUACCGGAUGAUGUCGCAAGACCAAAGAUUUAUUGGCAAAGGAUGAGCCGGCGUAGGCUUAGCUAGUUGGUGGGGUAAAGGCCUCCCAAGGCGACGAUCCUUAGCUGGGCUGAGAGGAAGAGCAGCCACACUGGGACUGAGACACGGCCCAGACUCCUACGGGAGGCAGCAGUGGGGAAUAUAGGACAACGGGCUGAAGCCUGAACGAGCAAGGCCGGGAGAGCGAUGAAGGCCGGAGGGUUGUAAAGUUAGUUUACCCGGGAUUAUAAUGACAGUACCGGGAGAAUAAGCACCGGCUAACUCCGUG